AACCAUCUAGUAGCUGGU
rnacentral:ncRNA from 2 species